UACCACCAGCCUUCGUGUCCCCACCUCCGGCAACUUGACGAAUCAAGCUUUCGAGAGCCUGCUCUGAAUACCAUAUGAAACAACCCGGGUCAAAUCCCGAGUCUUUUUCAGAAAUCAGGUCAAGUCCCGAAUUUCGAAUCCGAAUAUAAACCCAAAUAAACUGGCCCAACUGCAACAACUUGGGUAAUCUACAAGCCCACCACAAGUCCCCAAAAGAUCAUGAUUUGUUGGUGCAAUUGGUAGUAGUACUUAUGCUUAUAAACUGAACUAAAGUCUCCACACUUCUCGAUGUGGGACUGGGGUGUUACAAACUCCCCCACUUAAAUUCCUGACGUCCUCGUCAGGCCGAAACGGAUAGCCCAUAGGCCCAGAUCGAACCUCUCUAGCCAUUGUGGGAUAAUACCGGCUGGCUUCGUGUCCCCACCUCCGGACUCUAGCCAUUUUGGGAUAAUACCACCAGCCUUCGUGUCCCCACCUCCGGCAACUUGACGAAUCAAGCUUUCGAGAGCCUGCUCUGAAUACCAUAUGAAACAACCCGGGUCAAAUCUCGAGCCUUUUUCGAAAAUCGAGUCAAGUCCCGAACUCCGAAUCCUUUCGAAAAUCGGGUCAAGUCCCUAACUCCGAAUCCGAAAAUAAGCCGAAAUAUACUGGCCCAACUGCAACAACUUGGGUAAUCCACAAGCCCACCACAGGCCCCCAAAAGAUCAUGAUUUGUUGGUGCGAUUGGUAGUAGUACUUAUGCUUAUAAACUGAACUAAAGUCUCCACACUUCUCGAUGUGGGACUGGGGUGUUACAAACUCCCCCACUUAAAUUCCUGACGUCCUCGUCAGGCCGAAACGGAUAGCCCAUAGGCCCAGAUCGAACCUCUCUAGCCAUUGUGGGAUAAUACCGGCUGGCUUCGUGUCCCCACCUCCGGACUCUAGCCAUUUUGGGAUAAUACCACCAGCCUUCGUGUCCCCACCUCCGGCAACUUGACGAAUCAAGCUUUCGAGAACCUCGCUCUGAUACCAUAUGAAACAACCCGGGUCAAAUCCCGAGCCUUUUUCGAAAAUCGGGUCAAGUCCCGAACUCCGAAUCCGAAAAUAAGCCGAAAUAUACUGGCCCAACUGCAACAACUUGGGUAAUCCACAAGCCCACCACAGGCCCCCAAAAGAUCAUGAUUUGUUGGUGCAAUUGGUAGUAGUACUUAUGCUUAUAAACUGAACUAAAGUCCCCACACUUCUCGAUGUGGGACUGGGGUGUUACAAACUCCCCCACUUAAAUUCCUGACGUCCUCGUCAGGCCGAAACGGAUAGCCCAUAGGCCCAGAUCGAACCUCUCUAGCCAUUGUGGGAUAAUACCGGCUGGCUUCGUGUCCCCGCCUCCGGAUCUCUGUCCAUUGCGGGAUAAUACCACCAGCCUUCGUGUCCCCACCUCCGGCAACUUGACGAAUCAAGCUUUCGAGAGCCUGCUCUGAAUACCAUAUGAAACAACCCGGGUCAAAUCCCGAGCCUUUUUCGAAAAUCGGGUCAAGUCCCGAAAUCCGAAUCCGAAAAUAAGCCCAAAUAUACUGGCCCAACUGCAACAACUUGGGUAAUCCACAAGCCCACCACAGGCCCCCAAAAGAUCAUGAUUUGUUGGUGCAAUUGGUAGUAGUACUUAUGCUUAUAAACUGAACUAAAGUCUCCACACUUCUCGAUGUGGGACUGGGGUGUUACAAACUCCCCCACUUAAAUUCCUGACGUCCUCGUCAGGCCGAAACGGAUAGCCCAUAGGCCCAGAUCGAACCUCUCUAGCCAUUGUGGGAUAAUAUCGGCUGGCUUCGUGUCCCCACCUCCGGACUCUAGCCAUUGUGGGAUAAUACCACCAGCCUUCGUGUCCCCACCUCCGGCAACUUGACGAAUCAAGCUUUCGAGAACCUCGCUCUGAUACCAUAUGAAACAACCUGGGUCAAAUCCUGAGCCUUUUUCGAAUAUCGGGUCAAGUCCCGAACUCCGAAUCCUUUCGAAAAUCGGAUCAAGUCCCUAACUCCGAAUCCGAAAAUAAGCCGAAAUAUACUGGCCCAACUGCAACAACUUGGGUAAUCCACAAGCCCACCACAGGCCCCCAAAAGAUCAUGAUUUGUUGGUGCGAUUGGUAGUAGUACUUAUGCUUAUAAACUGAACUAAAGUCCUCACACUUCCCGAUGUGGGACUGGGGUGUUACAAACUCCCCCACUUAAAUUCCUGACGUCCUCGUCAGGCCGAAACGGAUAGCCCAUAGGCCCAGAUCGAACCUCUCUAGCCAUUGUGGGAUAAUAUCGGCUGGCUUCGUGUCCCCACCUCCGGACUCUAGCCAUUGUGGGAUAAUACCACCAGCCUUCGUGUCCCCACCUCCGGCAACUUGACGAAUCAAGCUUUCGAGAGCCUCGCUCUGAUACCAUAUGAAACAACCCGGGUCAAAUCCCGAGCCUUUUUCGAAAAUCGGGUCAAGUCCCGAAAUCCGAAUCCGAAAAUAAGCCUAAAUAUACUGGCCC
rnacentral:lncRNA from 1 species